rnacentral:rRNA from 1 species
AUGGACUACAGUACUGAAGAUGAGCACCAACACGGCCAUGGCCAUGGCGACGGUGACGACGCGGCGGAGUGGAAGAAGGUGGCGGAGCUGAGGGCCGUCGUCGAGGCCCAGGACCCCGCUGCCAAGGAGGAGGAUGACUUUUCGCUGCGACGAUUCCUGCGUGCCCGGGACCACAACAUCGGCAAGGCGUCGGCCAUGCUCCUCCAGUACCUUUCCUGGAAGCGUGUUGCCAAGCCCCAUGGCUCCAUCUCGGCCGACGAGGUGCGCGACGAGAUUGCAAAGGAUAGAGUCCGCAUGCAGGGCUUCGACCGUCUCAAUCGCCCCAUGGCGUAUCUCUAUGGUGCACGACAUUUCCCUGCCCGGCGUGACCUUGACGAGUUCAAGCGCUAUGUCACCUAUGUCCUUGAUAAAAUUUGCACUAGGUUGCCUGUGGGGCAAGAGAAGUUUGCAGCGGUGAUAGACAUGAAGGGGUGGGGAUAUGCGAAUUGUGACAUCCGGGGUUACGUGGCGGCAUUGGAAAUCAUGCAGGGCUACUACCCGGAGCGCCUUGGCCGGGUGUUCCUGAUCCACGUGCCCUACAUGUUCAUGGCGGCAUGGAAGAUGGUGUACCCGUUCAUUGACGACCGAACCCGAAAGAAGUUUGUGUUUGUCACUGAUAAGGACCUCAAAUCCAGGCUCCAGGGCGCCAUUGACGAGUCCCAGCUCCCCGAGGAGUACGGUGGCAAGCUGAAGCUUUAG